GUUGCUUCUCAGCCUUUUGGAUAAGAUGAAGUGCAGUGUCUCUUUUUUCAGUUUAAUAUCUGAUACUUUCUCUAUCUGAAGACAAUAUAUCAAAUGUAUUUUGGAGACUAGGAAAUGGAAUAGAAACUUGCUCCAUCCAUUCUGCGCAUCAACCUGGUAUUGAAGUACCUUUAGGAAUGGUGUGAAAGGG